rnacentral:misc_RNA from 1 species
GGAAGUAAAAGUGUAACAAGGUCUCCGUAGGUGAACCUGCGGAGGGAUCAUUACCACGCGGUUGGGGGGUUGGCUUGAGAGCCGCCCCCGCCCAUCACCCUGCGCACAGCGUGGUGUUGGGGGGUUCUGCCUCCGGGCCGAGCCCCGCUACACGCACACCCCACACCCCACACACCCGCACGACCCGAAUCUACGAGUCGAGAGCGGGCUCGCGAGAGCCCGCUCCUCGCAACCUGAGUCAAACAACUCCAAACGGCGGAUGUCUUGGCUCCC